rnacentral:rRNA from 1 species
CCUACGGGUGGCUGCAGUGGGGGAUAUUGCACAAUGGGCGAAAGCCUGAUGCAGCGACGCCGCGUGAGUGAAGACGGUCUUCGGUUUGUAAACCUCUGUCAGCGGGGAAGAAGAUGACGGUACCCAACGAGGAAGCUCCGGCUAACUACGUGCCAGCAGCCGCGGUAAUACGUAGGGAGCAAGCGUUGUCCGGAAUUACUGGGUGUAAAGGGAGCGUAGGCGGGAUGGCAAGUAGAAGGGAAAACCCGACGGCCCAACCGGUGGCUGCGUUCUAAACUGCCGGGCUUGAGUGAAGUAGAGGCAGGCGGAAUUCCUAGUGUAGCGGUGAAAUGCGUAGAUAUUAGGAGGAACACCAGUGGCGAAGGCGGCCUGCUGGGCUUUAACUGACGCUGAGGCUCGAAGGCGUGGGGAGCAAACAGGAUUAGAUACCCCGGUAGUC